GGCGGCAGGCCUAACACAUGCAAGUCGAGCGGUAGAGAGAAGCUUGCUUCUCUUGAGAGCGGCGGACGGGUGAGUAAUACCUAGGAAUCUGCCUGAUAGUGGGGGAUAACGUUCGGAAACGGACGCUAAUACCGCAUACGUCCUACGGGAGAAAGCAGGGGACCUUCGGGCCUUGCGCUAUCAGAUGAGCCCAGGUCGGAUUAGCUAGUUGGUGAGGUAAUGGCUCACCAAGGCUACGAUCCGUAACUGGUCUGAGAGGAUGAUCAGUCACACUGGAACUGAGACACGGUCCAGACUCCUACGGGAGGCAGCAGUGGGGAAUAUUGGACAAUGGGCGAAAGCCUGAUCCAGCCAUGCCGCGUGUGUGAAGAAGGUCUUCGGAUUGUAAAGCACUUUAAGUUGGGAGGAAGGGCAGUUACCUAAUACGUGACUGUCUUGACGUUACCGACAGAAUAAGCACCGGCUAACUCUGUGCCAGCAGCCGCGGUAAUACAGAGGGUGCAAGCGUUAAUCGGAAUUACUGGGCGUAAAGCGCGCGUAGGUGGUUUGUUAAGUUGAAUGUGAAAUCCCCGGGCUCAACCUGGGAACUGCAUCCAAAACUGGCAAGCUAGAGUAUGGUAGAGGGUAGUGGAAUUUCCUGUGUAGCGGUGAAAUGCGUAGAUAUAGGAAGGAACACCAGUGGCGAAGGCGACUACCUGGACUGAUAC
rnacentral:rRNA from 1 species